CCUACGGGAGGCAGCAGGGAGGAAUAGUGGGCAAUGGGCGCGAGCCGGAACCAGCAAAGUAGCGUGAAGGAUGACGACCCUACGGGUUGUAAACUUCUUUUAUAAAGGAAUAAAGUGAGGCACGUGUGCCUUUUUGUAUGUACGUUAUGAAUAAGGAUCGGCUAACUCCGUGCCAGCAGCCGCGGUAAUACGGAGGAGCCGAGCGUUAUCCGGAUUGAUUGGGGUUACAGGGAGCGUAGAUGGGUUGUUAAGUCAGUUGUGAAAGUUUGCGGCUCAACCGUAAAAUUGCAAUUGAUACUGGCAGUCUUGCGUACAGUUGCGUUAGGCGGACUUCGUGUUGUCGCGGUUCCAUGCUUAGCUCUCAC
rnacentral:rRNA from 1 species